CGCGGUAAUACGUAUGUCCCGAGCGUUAUCCGGAUUUAUUGGGCGUAAAGCGAGCGCAGACGGUUUAUUAAGUCUGAUGUGAAAGCCCGGAGCUCAACUCCGGAAUGGCAUUGGAAACUGGUUAACUUGAGUGCAGUAGAGGUAAGUGGAACUCCAUGUGUAGCGGUGGAAUGCGUAGAUAUAUGGAAGAACACCAGUGGCGAAGGCGGCUUACUGGACUGCAACUGACGUUGAGGCUCGAAAGUGUGGGUAGCAAACAGGAUUAGAUACCCUGGUAGUCCACACCGUAAACGAUGAACACUAGGUGUUAGGAGGUUUCCGCCUCUUAGUGCCGAAGCUAACGCAUUAAGUGUUCCGCC
rnacentral:rRNA from 1 species